GUGGCUUAGCUCAGCUGGAUAGAGAAACCGCCUUCUAAGCGGUUGGUCGCAGGUUCGAAUCCUGCAUGCUGCACCA
rnacentral:tRNA from 1 species